rnacentral:lncRNA from 1 species
CGUCCGCCGGACUCGGAUUGGCGCGAGACAUUGCGAGGCACCUCCGUGUGCCAAAAAUAGGCCGCGGGCACAGCCGCGCCCAAAAAUAACCGCCCGAAGGUCGGGGCGCCACGUUCGUCCAGCGGACAAAGCCCACAAAAACGGGUGGGCUAUAGCCUUGGAGGGUAGGGCUGGCCAACUUCGUCCGCCGGACUCGGAAUGGCGCGAGACUUUGCGAGGCGCCUCCGUGUGCCAAAAAUAGGCCAUGGGCACAGCCGCGCCAAAAAAAAACCGCCCGAAGGUCGGGGCGCCAAGUUCGUCCAGCGGAAAAAGCCCACAAAAACGGGUGGGCUAUAGCCUUCGAGGGUAGGGCUGGCCAACUUCGUCCGCCGGACUCGGAAUGGCGUGAGACUUUGCGAGGCAUCUCCGCGUGCCAAAAAUAGGCCACGGGCACAGCCGCGCCCAAAAAUAACCACCCAAAGGCCGGAGCGCCAAGUUCGUCCAGUGGAAAAAGCCCACAAAAACGGGUGGGCUAUAGCCUAUGGGGGGUGGGGCUGGCCAACUUCGUCUGCCGGACUCGGAAUGGCGUGAGACUUUGCGAGGCGUCUCCGCGUGCCAAAAAUAGGCCACGGGCACAGCCGCACCCAAAAAUAACCACCCAAAGGCUGGAGCGCCAAGUUCGUCGAGUGGAAAAAGCCCACAAAAACGGGUGGGCUAUAGCCUUGGGGGGUGGGGCUGGCCAACUUCGUCUGCCGGACUCGGAAUGGCGUGAGACUUUGCGAGGCGUCUCCGCGUGCCAAAAAUAGGCCACGGGCACAGCCGCGCUCAAAAAUAACCACCCAAAGGCCGGAGCGCCAAGUUCGUCCAGUGGAAAAAGCCCACAAAAACGGGUGGGCUAUAGCCUUGGGGG